GGAUGCGAUCAUACCAGCACUAACGCACCGGAUCCCAUCAGAACUCCGAAGCUAAGCGUGCUUGAGCGAGAGUAGUACUAGGAUGGGUGACCCCCUGGGAAGUCCUCGUGUUGCAUCCC
rfam:Nicotiana attenuata strain TT scaffold06028, whole genome shotgun sequence.